CCUUCAUGCAGUGAUGCUGCUGCUGUUGCUGCUUAAGAGGUUAAGAAACCACUGAAUAUGAAUGAACUCUCAAGUCCGACACAGCUGAAGCACCUUCAAUGUCGUCUGCUUGUUGAGCCGCCAGCCUCUGAGAACGAGCAACAAAAGUUUCGGCGGGCUUUUAUUCUCAAAGGCCGCUUUACAGACACCUUCACUUGAAAGCACUGCCUAAUGAGGAGCUGACUCUGUUCAGGAGGAGGUUGCUGAGGGAUUAUACAUCAGCACAUGGCGCAUGAAAGGAAGACACAUUCCGCAGACGCUCCCAUCAUCACGUGAAAUGAUCCAGAGGCAGAAGCUCAGGCAUCCAUGAGAGGCUCAACGUAGAACCGCCGCUACUGGACAUGGGAAGAGGCCACGGGUUCUGCUGUUCUUGUUGGAAUGAAACCUGGAUGUUCAGCUUGGAGGCGGCCACAAUGAAGGGUGAGAUGGUGUCACCUGGGAUGUUUCAGAAGAGCAGUGCACCUUUUGUUUUGUAGUACUACCGCACACUCAACCAAACAGCUCCAUUCUACUUAUUUAAUUUACAUUUCAAUGUGUUUUUUGUUUCUUUAUUGACAAUAUUUAAAUAUGAAUAUAUUCAUUUGAGGACAAGCAAUUCAGUUGAAUACUCGAAGUGGUUUAAUUCAGUGGAAGCACAGUUUUUACUGAUGUAUUACUAUUCAAGAUAUUUUUAUUUAACAUUGCUUAAAUAUGAACAUAAAAUAAGAAAAUUCAUGGAAUAUUUCUUGUUAUACUGAUAAUUAUUACAUUAAUUCUAGCUACAUUUGAGGAAAAACGGAGGAUUUGUUGGCGAGGAAAACCAUUUUGUCUGAAUCGUGAAGCCGGAGCAGAACAUUUUAAGGUCACUGACCGUCAACAGCAACUUCAAAAUACAAAUCGCUUUGAUUUGUAUUAGAAAAUGGAUGUUUUGCAGCGCCCCCUGGGAGCCGUCUCACGACUCCAGCCAAACUCCAGUUAGACUUACUUUUUCAGUAGUAAUCAUAGAUAACUACAUGUGAACCAAUUACAAAAAUCUGUGAAAAUGCUGUCAAUAUUCCCAUGUCAUAUUUACGGUCAUAAUAUUUCAGUUCAAAUACAAGUCAACACAUUAGAUAUACGCUGCAAAGCAAUGCAUUUCACAUUGUUACACGUUCACUGUCCCAUUUAGAUGUGGAUAUUUAUGCAAGGUUUUCCAUCCAUCUCCCUUUGUUCUCCAGGGUUUGCUCCCAGUGUCAGCACAAACUAGGCUGGCGUAAGAGUUCACUUUGGUUUGGCAGAGGAUUGCACCUUGUUUCUUUAAAUUUAGUACACAAUAAUAUGGGAAGGCAGUGGGUAGUUUGCCUGCCAAAACGGGAAACUUGGCACCAUGUGUUUAACUUUCUUCUAAAUGAAUUGCACAGGACCCUCUGGGCGUUUACUGUAUUUCGCCAUUUAAGCGCAAUGAUAAUGACUCACCACCUGCACUUUCAUUUGAUCAAAAACACUGUUUGCUUAACAGAACAAAACUAUGUUUGAGCUAUGUAUAAACAUGGAAACAUACCUUCAUUUAGAGGUGACCUUGGAGUCACUUGAAGGAUUGAACCUAAUGCUCAAAUUAAAAAUGUCUGGGGACAAAAACAAACACAUUUAAUGGCUUUUUCUCGGUGGUUUGACUUGAGCUCUGCCUCAACAGCUGGACCUUCUUUAUGACUUAUGUCUAAUUGAAGCAGAGAAUCCUGCCGCUGGUUUCUUAAAUCCCAGCAAAUUGGUUUCCUGCAGCGUGGGCUCCAUCUUAAGGUCCGUCUUAAGCUGGUGGUGCUGCCACUUGCUGCAGGAGAACGUCACGUGAGCAAAGAACCUGGACUUGAAAUGACACUUCUUUUAUUGUCGUAUGUUUUUCUAAAUGUAAUUCCAUGUCACCCGGCCGCCGCAGAGGAGGAACUGACGGUGACAAUGAAAGAGGAAAAAACAUUCAUAAUGAAUGUAAUAAGCUCAUGUUCUCAAGCUCACAGCCCAUUGAAUUAAAUAUAAGACGCUUUCCGUUUCAUGGAAAGUGAAUGUGGCUCUUUUAAUCUGGCAUCAUUAUGGUUAAAAAAUGCACUUUCAACCCCACAGGGGCCCACGAGGCGUUAAUAAGGCCCGGUAAUGAUUGCGGCGGCAUGUGUCAUGUGCAUUAAUGCACAGAUCUUUUCCUUUUUUUCCCCUGGUUCCCGGUGAGGCUGGUGUUUUUGCUGCAGUGUCCGUGUCGGCGGGGAGCAAUCUCAGCGGCACGGUGGCCAGGAGCUACACAAUUUAAAGUUGCUGUUGACGGAAGACGUAGCAGACGAUCAGACGGUCGGUUGGAAGUGUGGACGACUCGAGAGUCAGAGGAGCUGAGGCUUAAAUAACAGAAAAUGAAUGUGUAGACAUACUGAUCAAAUACGGGACUUAAACAUACUUAGUUUCACUAUGUAAAAAGGUUUUUUUUGUUUUGCUUUUUUGUUUACUAAUGCUUAUUACCAUGUAACGCAUCAAUAUCAAUGUUCAUUCCUCAAAGUAUUAGUCUUUCAUUCAUGUAGCAUGAGCUAUCAUGAGUCACA